AAGAAAAGUAACGGUGUC
rnacentral:piRNA from 1 species